UACGUAGGGUGCAAGCGUUGUCCGGAAUUAUUGGGCGUAAAGAGCUCGUAGGCGGUUUGUCGCGUCUGCUGUGGAAACGCGAGGCUCAACCUCGCGCCUGCAGUGGGUACGGGCAGACUAGAGUGCGGUAGGGGAGAUUGGAAUUCCUGGUGUAGCGGUGGAAUGCGCAGAUAUCAGGAGGAACACCGAUGGCGAAGGCAGAUCUCUGGGCCGUAACUGACGCUGAGGAGCGAAAGCGUGGGGAGCGAACAGG
rnacentral:rRNA from 1 species